GUCUUACCAGACAUGGUUAGAUCUGGAUGUAUCUGUCUAAUACUGUCUGGUAAUGCCGU
rnacentral:pre_miRNA from 1 species